rnacentral:rRNA from 1 species
AGAGUUUGAUCAUGGCUCAGGAUGAACGCUAGCGGCAGGCCUAACACAUGCAAGUCGAACGGUAACAUGAGAGCUCGCUCUUGAUGACGAGUGGCGCACGGGUGCGUAACGCGUAUACAAUCUACCUUUUACAGGGGGAUAGCCUUUAGAAAUGAAGAUUAAUACCCCAUGGUAUAAUGAUAUGGCAUCAUAUUAUUAUUAAAGUUUCGGCGGUAAAAGAUGAGUAUGCGUUCUAUUAGCUAGAUGGUGUGUAACGGCACACCAUGGCAACGAUAGAUAGGGGCCCUGAGAGGGGGAUCCCCCACACUGGUACUGAGACACGGACCAGACUCCUACGGGAGGCAGCAGUGAGGAAUAUUGGACAAUGGAGGCAACUCUGAUCCAGCCAUGCCGCGUGCAGGAAGACUGCCCUAUGGGUUGUAAACUGCUUUUAUACAGGAAGAAACACCUCUACGUGUAGAGAUUUGACGGUACUGUAAGAAUAAGGAUCGGCUAACUCCGUGCCAGCAGCCGCGGUAAUACGGAGGAUCCAAGCGUUAUCCGGAAUCAUUGGGUUUAAAGGGUCCGUAGGUGGAUAAUUAAGUCAGAGGUGAAAGUCUGCAGCUCAACUGUAGAAUUGCCUUUGAUACUGGUUAUCUUGAGUUAUUAUGAAGUAGUUAGAAUAUGUAGUGUAGCGGUGAAAUGCAUAGAUAUUACAUAGAAUACCAAUUGCGAAGGCAGAUUACUAAUAAUUAACUGACACUGAUGGACGAAAGCGUGGGGAGCGAACAGGAUCAGAUACCCUGGUAGUCCACGCCGUAAACGAUGGUUACUAGCUGUUCGGACUUCGGUCUGAGUGGCUAAGCGAAAGUGAUAAGUAACCCACCUGGGGAGUACGUUCGCAAGAAUGAAACUCAAAGGAAUUGACGGGGGCCCGCACAAGCGGUGGAGCAUGUGGUUUAAUUCGAUGAUACGCGAGGAACCUUACCAGGGCUUAAAUGUAGUGUGACAGGACUAGAGAUAGUUUUUUCUUCGGACACAUUACAAGGUGCUGCAUGGUUGUCGUCAGCUCGUGCCGUGAGGUGUCAGGUUAAGUCCUAUAACGAGCGCAACCCCUGUUGUUAGUUGCCAGCGAGUGAUGUCGGGAACUCUAACAAGACUGCCGGUGCAAACCGUGAGGAAGGUGGGGAUGACGUCAAAUCAUCACGGCCCUUACGUCCUGGGCUACACACGUGCUACAAUGGUAGGUACAGAGAGCAGCCACUGCGUGAGCAGGAGCGAAUCUAUAAAACCUAUCACAGUUCGGAUCGGAGUCUGCAACUCGACUCCGUGAAGCUGGGAUCGCUAGUAAUCGCAUAUCAGCCAUGAUGCGGUGAAUACGUUCCCGGGCCUUGUACACACCGCCCGUCAAGCCAUGGAAGCUGGGAGUGCCUGAAGUCCGUCACCGCAAGGAGCGGCCUAGGGUAAAAUUAGUAACUAGGGCUAAGUCGUAACAAGGUA